GAUGAAGAACGUAGCGAAAUGCGAUAAGUAAUGCGAAUUGCAGAAUUCCAGUGAGUCAUCGAAUCUUUGAACGCACAUUGCGCCCGCCAGUAUUCUGGCGGGCAUGCCUGUUCGAGCGUCAUUUCAACCAUCAAGCCCCCGGCUUGUGUUGGGGACCUGCGGCUGCCGCAGGCCCUGAAAAGCAGUGGCGGGCUCGCUGUCACACCGAGCGUAGUAGCAUACAUCUCGCUCUGGGCGUGCUGCGGGUUCCGGCCGUUAAACCACCUUCAUAACCCAAGGUUGACCUCGGAUCAGGUAGGAAGACCCGCUGAACUUAAGCAUAUCAAUAAGCGGAGGA
rnacentral:misc_RNA from 1 species